rnacentral:misc_RNA from 1 species
GUUCAUCUAAUUGUGCCCUUGCUAGGGCUAUCUCUGUUGCCUUAUAGUACUUCUCUACACUCUUCCCUCCUUUGCAACCUUUGGUGGAGUUCCCUAAAGUAGUGUUGGGGAACAAAUCUCUCCCUCAUUGCUUCUUUCAUAGCCUCUCAAGAAGCAAUGGGUCUAAGACGCAAAAUUCUUCUCCUAACCAUCAACUGGUCCCACCACACUAUAGCAUACUCCUUAAACUCUAUGGCUUUAAGCUUCACCUUCUUUUCCCCACUAUAGUUAUGACACUAAAAAAUUAGCUCAACUUGCCUUUUCCACUCCAUGUAGGCAUCCAUAUUCUCCUUCCCAUGAAAGGGAGAAAUUUUCAUCUUAAUGCUACCCACAUUAGUGUCUAUCCUCUCUUCUUGGUCUCCAUAUCCAUAAUCACCAUAUCUAUACUCCCCAAUUCUUGGCAUCCUACCUCCUCUUAUACCUCUAGUUUCCCUUACCCUAGGUGGUCUAUAACCCCUACCACCAUAGCUGUAGUUCCCAUACUCAAAUUCUUCUUCUAUCUCUUCCUCAAACUCUUCCUCAACAUGCUCUUCACCCUCAAGGUUCUCCACUCUUGGUUCCCCUAUAUUUCUCUCUUUCUUGCCUUCUGUCCCUAAUACCAUCUCUACCCUUGCUCUCUCUUCCCUUGUCAUCCCUCAAUGUAUUCAUGUCCAAGGUCAACCUCUCAAAUUGUGCAGCAACGGCGUCCCUAUACAUAGCUUCAUCAACUAGGACUCUCUCCCCAGUACUACCGAUUUCAUUUGACAUGAUUUUGAGCUACAAGAAAACAAGUUAGUAAGAAAUGGCUAACCCUCUCAAGGUGUUUCACACAAAUAGAUGGCUUUUACCCUCUAAUGCACUCACA